GGAGAGGUGCCGGAGUGGUCGAUCGGGGCGGUCUCGAAAACCGUUGAGCCUUCACGGGUUCCCAGGGUUCGAAUCCCUGUCUCUCCGCCA
rnacentral:tRNA from 1 species